rnacentral:rRNA from 1 species
CAGUAGCCGCGGUAAAACGAAGGGGGCUAGCGUUACUCGGAAUUACUGGGCGUAAAGGGCGCGUAGGCGGCACGAUUAGUCAGGCGUGAAAUUCCUGGGCUCAACCUGGGGACUGCGCUUGAUACGGUCGAGCUAGAGGAUGGAAGAGGGUUGUGGAAUUCCCAGUGUAGAGGUGAAAUUCGUAGAUAUUGGGAAGAACACCGGUGGCGAAGGCGGCAACCUGGUCCAUUACUGACGCUGAGGCGCGACAGUGUGGGGAGCAAACAGGAUUAGAUACCCCCGUAGUCCCUGUCUCUUAUAC